rnacentral:rRNA from 1 species
UACGAAGGGGGCGAGCGUUGUUCGGAAUUACUGGGCGUAAAGGGCGCGUAGGCGGCGACCCAAGUCAGAUGUGAAAGUCCUGGGCUUAACCUGGGGACUGCAUUUGAUACUGGGUUGCUUGAAUUCGGGAGAGGAUAGCGGAAUUCCCAGUGUAGAGGUGAAAUGCGUAGAUAUCUGGAGGAAUACCGGUGGCGAAGGCGGCAUCCUGGACCAUUACUGACGCUGAGGCGCGAAAGCUAGGGGAGCAAACGGG